UGGGGAAUCUUGGACAAUGGGCGCAAGCCUGAUCCAGCCAUGCCGCGUGAGUGAUGAAGGCCUUAGGGUUGUAAAGCUCUUUUUGCCGGGGACGAUAAUGACGGUACCCGGAGAAUAAGUCCCGGCUAACUUCGUGCCAGCAGCCGCGGUAAUACGGAGGGAGCUAGCGUUGUUCGGAAUUACUGGGCGUAAAGCGUACGUAGGCGGUGACUCAAGUCAGAGGUGAAAGCCUGGAGCUCAACUCCAGAACUGCCUUUGAAACUAGGUCGCUAGAAUCACGGAGAGGUGAGUGGAAUUCCGAGUGUAGAGGUGAAAUUCGUAGAUAUUCGGAAGAACACCAGUGGCGAAGGCGGCUCACUGGACGUGUAUUGACGCUGAGGUACGAAAGCGUGGGGAGCAAACAGGAUUAGAUACCCACGUAGUCCCUGAGCGGGCUGGCAAGGCGCAU
rnacentral:rRNA from 1 species